rnacentral:sRNA from 1 species
UUCGUCUUUUAAGGCGAUCUGCUAAACACAUCCGCGCGUAGGUCCGACAUUCGAUCGGGCCCACUCCCUCAGAGAGUGUCCCAGCGCG